rnacentral:rRNA from 1 species
AUUGAACGCUGGCGGCAGGCCUAACACAUGCACGUCGAGCGAUCGGCGGACGGGUGAGUAAUGUCUGGGAAACUGCCUGAUGGAUGGGGAUAACUACUGGAAACGGUAGCUAAUACCGCAUACCAUCAGAUGUGCCCCGAUGGGAUUAGCUAGUCGGUGGGGUAAAGGCUGACCUAGGCGCCGAUCCCUAGCUGGUCUGAGAGGAUGACCAGACACACGGGAACGGAGAAACGGGCCAGACUCAUACGGGAGGAAGAAGUGGGGAAGAUUGGAAAAUGGGCGCAAGCCUGAUGCAGCCAUGCCGCGUGUGUGAAGAAGGCCUUCGGGGUGUAAAGCACUUUCAGCGGGGAGGCGUUACCCGCAGAAGAAGCACCGGCUAACUCCGUGCCAGCAGCCGCGGUAAUUC